UUUUCAAAGCAAUGUGUGACAGGUACAGGGACAAAUCCCCGUUAAUAAGUAAGAGGAUUUGUGCUUGGCUCUGUCACAUGCCACUGUGAAAA
rnacentral:miRNA from 1 species